rnacentral:rRNA from 1 species
CCUACGGGGGGCUGCAGUGAGGAAUAUUGGUCAAUGGCCGGAAGGCUGAACCAGCCAUGCCGCGUGAAGGUCAGUGCCCUAUGGGCGUUAAACUUCUUUUUGUCGGGAGCAAUAAUGGUCACGUUUGGCCAGACGAUAGUACCGUACGAAUAAGCAUCGGCUAAAUCCGUGCCAGCAGCCGCGGUAAAUCGGGGGGUGCAAGCGGUAUCCUGAAUUAAUGGGGUUAAAGGGGUCGUAGGGUGUGGGGUAAGUCAGCGGGUAAAGGCCGCCGCUCAACGGGGUGAAGUGCCAUUGAUACUGGCGUGCUGGAAUGCGGAUGACGUGGGAGGAAUGUGUGGUGUAGCGGUGAAAUGCAUAGAUAUCACAAAGAACACCGAUUGCGAAGGCAUCUCACGAAUCCGCGAUUGACGCUGAUGCACGAAAGCGUGGGUAUCAAACAGGAUUAGAUACCCUAGUAGUC